UUCCUCUUGGCUAUAAGAGGUAAGGCCUGCUCACUGAGUUUUGAAGAGCCGCAGUAUCCUGACUGUGCUAAGGUAGCAUAAUCAUUAGUCUUUUAAUUGGAGACUGGUAUGAAUGGUUCAACGAGAAAUCAACUUUUUUUAUCAUAAAAAUUGAAUUUAACUUCUUAGUGAAAAGGCUAAGAUAGUUCAAGAAGACGAGAAGACCCUAUAGAGUUUUAUAGGUUCGUGAGAUGAAUCUUGAUUGGAUUUUUUCAAGAAACUUGNUNAGAGCNUAUUUUGUUGGGGCGACAUUAAGAUAUAAAAAACUCUUUAUUUAAAAAAUUUUUAUAAAAAUAAAGUUUGAUCCUUUAAAAAAGAUUAGAAGAAAAAAUUACCUUAGGGAUAACAGCGUAAUCUUUUUUGAGAGUUCGAAUCGACAAAAAGGUUUGCGACCUCGAUGUUGGACUAAAAUUUAGGCAGGGUGCAGCAGUUCUGCUUUUAGGUCUGUUCGACCUAUAAUAUUUUACGUGAUCUGAG
rnacentral:rRNA from 1 species